GCGAAAAACCUUUACNUACCCUUGACAUGUCCAGAAGNUAUUAGAGAAUUUGAGUNUNCCCNGAAAGGGAACUGGAACACAGGUGCUGCAUGACUGUCGUCAGCUCCGUGUCGUGAGAUGNUGGGUUAAGUCCCGCAACGAGCGCAACCCUUGUCGUUAAUUGCCAUCAUUUAGUUGGGCACUUUAACGAGACUGCCGGUGACAAACCGGAGGAAGGUGGGGAUGACGUCAAGUCCUCAUGGCCCUUAUGGGUAGGGCUUCACACGUCAUACAAUGGUCGGUACAGAGGGUUGCCAAGCCGCGAGGUGGAGCCAAUCCCAGAAAGCCGAUCGUAGUCCGGAUUGCAGGCUGCAACUCGCCUGCAUGAANUCGGAAUCGCAUAGUAAUCGCGGAUCA
rnacentral:rRNA from 1 species